GACGAACGCUGGCGGCGUGCUUAACACAUGCAAGUCGAACGGAAAGGCCCUGCUUUUGUAGGGUGCUCGAGUGGCGAACGGGUGAGUAACACGUGAGUAACCUGCCCUUGACUUUGGGAUAACUUCAGGAAACUGGGGCUAAUACCGGAUAGGAGCUCCUGCUGCAUGGUGGGGGUUGGAAAGUUUCGGCGGUUGGGGAUGGACUCGCGGCUUAUCAGCUUGUUGGUGGGGUAGUGGCUUACCAAGGCUUUGACGGGUAGCCGGCCUGCGAGGGUGACCGGCCACAUUGGGACUGAGAUACGGCCCAGACUCCUACGGGAGGCAGCAGUGGGGAAUAUUGCACAAUGGGCGGAAGCCUGAUGCAGCAACGCCGCGUGCGGGAUGACGGCCUUCGGGUUGUAAACCGCUUUCGCCUGUGACGAAGCGUGAGUGACGGUAAUGGGUAAAGAAGCACCGGCUAACUACGUG
rnacentral:rRNA from 1 species